GUGUCAGCCGCCGCGGUAAAACGUAGGAGGCAAGCGUUAUCCGGAGUAACUGGGCGUAAAGGGCGAGUAGGUGGUUGCGUAAGUUGGUUAUGAAAGCGCCUGGCUAAACUGGGCGAGGUUGACCAAGACUGCGCGACUUGAGUGGAGAAGAGGUAAACGGAAUUCCGCGUGUAGUGGUGAAAUGCGUAGAGAUGCGGAAGAACACCAGUGGCGAAGGCGGUUUACUGGUCUCCAACUGACACUGAACCGCGAAAGCAUGGGUAGCGAACGGGAUUAGAAACCCCUGUAGUCC
rnacentral:rRNA from 1 species